UCCGAGUUGACCCCGGCAGUCUCCUGUGAGUCCCCGACAUAACUCGCUGGCAACACAGAACAAGGGUUGCGCUCGUUGCGGGACUUAACCCAACACCUCACGGCACGAGCUGACGACAGCCAUGCAGCACCUGAGCAGGAUGGUAUUGCUACCUCGUUGGGCUUUCACCCUUCUACUACCUGCAUGUCCAGCCUGGGUAAGGUUCUUCGCGUUGCGUCGAAUUAAACCACAUGCUCCACCGCUUGUGCGGGCCCCCGUCAAUUUCUUUGAGUUUUAGCCUUGCGGCCGUACUCCCCAGGCGGGGUACUUAAUGCGUUAGCUACGGCACGGAUCCCAAGGAAGGAAACCCACACCUAGUACCCACCGUUUACGGCGUGGACUAC
rnacentral:misc_RNA from 1 species